rnacentral:rRNA from 1 species
UACGGGGGGGGCAAGCGUUGUUCGGAAUUACUGGGCGUAAAGGGCUCGUAGGUGGCCAACUAAGUCAGACGUGAAAUCCCUCGGCUUAACCGGGGAACUGCGUCUGAUACUGGAUGGCUUGAGUUUGGGAGAGGGACGCGGAAUUCCAGGUGUAGCGGUGAAAUGCGUAGAUAUCUGGAAGAACACCCGUGGCGAAGGCGGCUCUCUGGGACGGUACUGACGCUGAGACGCGAAAGCGUGGGGAGCGAACAGG